rnacentral:tRNA from 1 species
AAGGAUUUAAGUUAAAUUAAACUAAUAACCUUCAAAGUUAUAAAUAGAAUUAUUCUAAGCCUUA